GGGUGCGACUGAACUGACUCAGUCGCAGGUUUCUUGGAUGGUCGGCCGCCAUCC
rnacentral:ncRNA from 1 species